rnacentral:rRNA from 1 species
UUAUAUUGAGUGUAAAUUGUAAUUCUUGUAAAAUUAUUAGUUAAGGACUUUAAAUUAAAAGAAUUUGACGGUAAUUAUAUCAUUUCAGAGGAAUCUGUCCUGUAAUUGAUAAUCCACGAUAAAUUUUACCUUAAUUUGUUUGGUUGUAUAUCUCUGUCUGAAGAAUGUUCUUUAAGGAUAAAAAUUUUCUUUUUCUUUAAUUGGUUUUAUGUCAGGUCAAGGUGCACUUUUAUUAAGGGUUGAGAUGGAUUACAUUGAUUUUAAAUUAUGGAUUGUAUACAUUUUAUUUAUGGAUUGAAAUAGGAUUUGAAUGUAAUUUAUAUUAUAUUUUAUUUAUGAUAUUUGCUCUAUAUUAAGUACACAUCGCCCGUCGCUCUCGUUGUUUAUUUAAAAUGAGAUAAGUCGUAACAAAGUAGGCCUACCGGAAGGUGGGCCUGGAUUUAUAUCAAAUUAAUCCAAGGGAAGACAGUUUUUUACAUUAACUGUAUAUUUGUGCAAUUCAAAUUGAUUUGAGAGUUUUAAAAUAUUUAGUUGAUUUUUUAUUUUUUUAAUUUUAAUAGAAAUAACUUUAAUUAUUAGUAUUUAAAUGGAAAUUAUUUUGUUAUUGAUAGCUUAUUUUACUGUGAAGGUUUAUAUAUUUUAAAAUAUAUAAGUAGGAAUAUUUUCUGUACCUUUUGCAUCAGGGUUUAUCAAUUUAUAUUAAUUAAUUAUUAAUUUUCCCGAAAUUAUAAGGGAUAUCUCAGUAUGAAUUUUGUUGUUUUAAAGCCAUGAAUAAUACUGAAAUAGGGAAUAUAUUUUAUUCAAUUAUAAAUAUCUGGUUUCUUGAGAUUUGAAUUUAAUUCAGAAUUAUUUUUAUUAAUUUUAAAAUUUUAUUUUUUUUAAUAUUAUAAUUUAACAUUAUAGGGGAUAAGCUCUAUGUUGAAUUUAUAGGUUUUAUUUAAUUAUAUUUAAGUUUUGUAGGUUUAAUAAUGUCCAUUAAUUUAUUUUGUUAUAAUGGUGCUUAAACUAAUUUUUAUUUUAGAUUACCUUAAUUUUUUAUCAAGAUUUUUGAUUUAAUAUUUUAUUCAAAGCAAUAAUGAUAGAAUUAGUAAUUUUUUUAUUUUAUAUAUAGUAAUUCGGCAAAUUUUAUUUUCACCUGUUUAUCAAAAACAUGUCCUAUUGUUUAUAUUUAUAUUAGGUCAGACCUGCUCAAUGAUUAUUUAUUAAAUAGCCGCAGUAUUUUGACUGUGCAAAGGUAGCAUAAUCAUUUGUCUCUUAAUUGGGGGCUUGUAUGAAGGGUUUAAUGAAAAAUAUACUUUCUUUAUAUAAAAGGAUGAAUUUAACAUUUAGGUUAAAAGGCUUAAAUGAUUUUAUGGGACGAGAAGACCCUAUAGAAAUUUACUAUUUUUUUAAAAUAAAUUUUAAUUAAAAUUAUAAAUUUAUUUUUUGAUGAUAGUUUCGUUGGGGCGAUGUGAAGAUAUUAUAAACUCUUUAUUAUUAGAUUUUAUUAAUGGAUAUUUAAAUUGAUCCCUUAUUAGGGAUUUAAAGAAUAAUUUACCUUAGGGAUAACAGCGUAAUUUUUUCGGAGAGUUCUUAUUGAUGAAAGAUU